ACGAACGCUGGCGGCGUGCUUAACACAUGCAAGUCGAACGGAAAGGCCUGCUUUCCCCUGUGGAUUGCGGGUACUCGAGUGGCGAACGGGUGAGUAACACGUGAGUUAUCUGCCCCCAACUUGGGUAUAAGCCUGGGAAACUGGGUCUAAUUCCCGAUAGGACUGCAGGGUGGUGCCUGUGGUGGAAAACGAUUUUCUAGUGGUUGGGGAUGAGCUCGCGGCCUAUCAGCUUGUUGGUGGGGUAAUGGCCUACCAAGGCGGCGACGGGUAGCCGGCCUGAGAGGGUGGACGGCCACAUUGGGACUGAGAUACGGCCCAGACUCCUACGGGAGGCAGCAGUGGGGAAUAUUGCACAAUGGGCGGAAGCCUGAUGCAGCGACGCCGCGUGGGGGAUGACGGCCUUCGGGUUGUAAACUCCUUUCGACCGCGAGGAAGCCACCUGGUUGGAAGGGUGGUGACGGUAGUGGUAGAAGAAGCACCGGCUAACUACGUG
rnacentral:rRNA from 1 species